AAGCGUUGUUCGGAAUUAUUGGGCGUAAAGCGCGUGUAGGCGGUUUGUUAAGUCUGAUGUGAAAGCCCCGGGCUCAACCUGGGAAGUGCAUUGGAAACUGGCAGACUUGAAUACGGGAGAGGGUAGUGGAAUUCCUAGUGUAGGAGUGAAAUCCGUAGAUAUUAGGAGGAACACCGGUGGCGAAGGCGGCUGCCUGGACCGAUAUUGACGCUGAGACGCGAAAGCGUGGGGAGCAAACAGGAUUAGAUACCCUGGUAGUCCACGCCGUAAACGAUGAGUACUAGGUGUUGCGGGUAUUGACCCCUGCAGUGCC
rnacentral:rRNA from 1 species